UCGAGCGAGCACUUUCUCGGAAGUUUUCGGAUGGAAGAGGGAAUGACUGAGCGGCGGACGGGUGAGUAACGCGUGGGGAACCUGCCUCAUACAGGGGAAUAACAGAUGGAAACGUCUGCUAAUGCCGCAUAAGCGCACACUGUGGCAUCACAGAGUGUGAAAAACUCCGGUGGUAUGAGAUGGCCCCGCGUCUGAUUAGGCAGUUGGCGGGGUAACGGCCCACCAAACCGACGAUCGGUAGCCGACCUGAGAGGGUGACCGGCCACAUUGGGACUGAGACACGGCCCAAACUCCUACGGGAGGCAGCAGUGGGGAAUAUUGCACAAUGGGGGAAACCCUGAUGCAGCGACGCCGCGUGGGUGACGAAGUAUUUCGGUAUGUAAAGCCCUAUCAGCAGGGAAGAAGAUGACAGUACCUGACUAAGAAGCCCCGGCUAACUACGUGCCAGCAGCCGCGGUAAUACGUAGGGGGCAAGCGUUAUCCGGAUUUACUGGUGUAAAGGGAGCGUAGGUGGCAUGGCAAGCCAGAAGUGAAAACCCGGGGCUUAACCCCGCGGAUUGCUUUUGGAACUGUCAGGCUGGAGUGCAGGAGGGGCAGGCGGAAUUCCUGGUGUAGCGGUGAAAUGCGUAGAUAUCAGGAGGAACACCGGUGGCGAAGGCGGCCUGCUGGACUGUAACUGACACUGAGGCUCGAAAGCGUGGGGAGCAAACAGGAUUAGAUACCCUGGUAGUCCACGCCGUANACGAUGAAUACUAGGUGUCGGGGANCAAGGCUCCUCGGUGCCGCAGCAAACGCAGUAAGUAUUCCACCUGGGGAGUACGUUCGCAAGAAUGAAAC
rnacentral:rRNA from 1 species